ACUAGCGGCGCGCUAGGGUUAGCGCCACCACCAGCCACACCCGCCGCUCGGCUCCUCGCCGGACACCCAUGUGCUCUCGUGCGCAGCUGCCACCUCGCCGCCUCCAGCCGUCGCUGUCCUUGGCCCAUCUCCAACACCGUCAACGCACCACCGGCCGCCUCCCUCGCCACGUCCCUGCUGCAAGCUCCCUGAUGCCUCUCCACGUCGGUCUUCCUCCUCCUCUCCCACCUAGCUGACCUCUGCCGCAUCGCCUACUCCCACCGGCUGCGCAGCUCCUCGUUGCCAUGGACGGGUUCAACUCCAAUCCCAAUGUUCUUCAUCUUCAAGGAAAUUUGGAGCUUGUUUGGUUCAGUGCCUACGGCUGCCCUGCCAAUUAUUUGGCGUUGACCGAUGGGGUGGGCUGGCGUUUGGAUUGCAGCCAAAUUUUAGAAUCCCAACCAAUAUUUUGGUCACCUGCUGCAACAUGUAGUGAUUCUGGCGCACGCGUGGUGGCGAGAACUUGGCGGCAAAUUCGAUGGCCAAAAAAUUGGCACGCCACUGUUUUGGUAGGGCUCUUGUGGCCAUCAUACAAACAGGCCCUUGGUAAUAGAAAUCCCCCUCCAUUGCCUCUGUUCGAUUUUGGUAGCUAUCCUUGUUGUAGAUCAUAUGGUUGUCAUCUUCAUAUGUCAUAUGAUAUAUAAUUGAUGCAAAAUGCAGCUGACCCAACGUGUAUCUGAAACCAUUUACCUGCAGUUGUGUCAGCUGCAUUUGUCUUCAGAUACACGUUGGGAUAUCUGAAUAUGACUAAAGAUGUUUGAAGAAAUUGAUGGCCAAAACGGUGGUAUCUCUUUGGCCAGAUGACUGGACCAUCUUCCAUGAUCCAGAGGAAGCACCUCUCGCACAGACAUUUAUAUUGUGGACCAUGGGUGUUCAAGAUUAUAUUGCAGUUUGGGCAAUUGUGAGACGUCUAUCACCAUGAAUUGCUUAGAUGAUGCACCAAAGUGGACCGAUUUUGUAUUCAUGGACUUUGAUAUUUUUAUUGAUCUCAUGGUUGUGAACAUCAAUGGUGUAAAGUAUAUGUAUUGCUGGUCAUGGAUAAAUCUUUACCGAGUUUUCAUUUUAUCAUGUACAUUUCAAGUCUUGCUUGCCAAAUUUCCACAAGUUCUUGUUAAAUUGUUUAACUGCCUCAUGUUUGUUCUUCAUUAUUCCAUAUCAAAGUGAUGUCGUCCAAUGCGUCUGUUCCUGUCUGAUGUAGAAAUUGCUUUCCAUGAGGCAUGCCCUGAAGAUGAUACAAUAUCAUUCCUCUUGGUGCCCGUGCUAAUAUAACUCUUAUUUUCAAAAAACAAUUUCUUUGUAUUUGGGAGCAAGAUAUUAGGUAGAAAUCUUUUGGUGAACUGCAGAUUUAAGCGUCUCUGGCGAGUUCUUUGUCGGUCAGCUCCACCUCCCUUAGCGCUUGACCUAGCAGAUGUGUGUGCGUGUGCAGAUCACCCAUGUCUCCACUACGCCACCUACUGUUGGAUGGCACUGGCCGUCCAAGCGUGUGGAACUGGAAGGACUGUCCGUCAUGGCGGCACAGCUCAUCUCGGAGGAGAAAAGACCAAGGUCUUGUAGGUUUCAAGUACUACAUAUAGGAGGAGGCAGGAGUGGCUGCAAUCUUGCUACAAAAUGACACUUACGGAGCUUCUUUACCUAACAUGGCCAAGAAGUCAGCGUAGAGUAUAGCCGGUAGGAUACAUAUCUGCAGAGUGCAUGUAGUGUGUGUGUCAGAUAUACAGUGGGAAAACACGACAAUGCAAGUGUCAGAUCCUAUUCUUGAUGCAAUUUUGCGACUCUAUUUUGGACUCUAAGCAAUUGGUUGAUGUUAAGCUGAAACUCGGAUCAGUCUUGUGGCUCUUCUGUACCUAUAUGCCUAGAUUAUUUACUAAUGGUAUAUGAACUAUAUCUUCCUGUAUAGGAUGA